CCUACAGUUAAAGUUUAGACCUUGAAAAGAAUUGUGUUCAACCUACUAUACAACUAAUUUUGGUGUUAUAUCAUAGUGAUGGGUAAAAAGAGCAUUCAUGCUUGAAAGAUAGAUAUAUAUACGUACAUACAUAUACAUAUACACAGACAUAUGGAUACAUAUAAUAUAUGGAAUUUUGCUACUGAAGGGUUUGCCAUGUACCGACACUCCCUGGUUUUAAUACAAUGAGCCAAAAACUAUUGCUGAGCAUCCUAUAAUAGUGACAAUAAAGACUUUUAGGUACUAAAGUUCCCUAAAUGUGAUUAAUUAUUGUGGCUAUGAGCUCGAGGAAGUACU
rnacentral:lncRNA from 1 species